UUUUAUUUUAAUAUUGAAUUUUAAUUUCAUGUGUUUAUAGGGGUGGGCCGUUGUUUUAUUUAGUUUUGUGCCGUGAAGCACUUUGUGCUGUAUAAAUAUAGUACGACUGAUGACAUCUUUUCACACUUUACUUUGUUUUCUUUUUCCUUUCAGCUUAAAAUAAGACCACAUACAGUAACUGUUGUGAUUUCCGCAGCAUGGCAGACGUGUGCUCACUCUCUCUCACUGACACUUAAGUUACGUGAUGUCAUCGGCAGCCGCUUCUCUCUUUACAGCCUGUCAGUCAUCAGUCUGUGUUCAGUGAAGCAUUCAUGUGAUUUUCAGGGUUUACAGAUCAUAACAGAUUUGACUCUUCCUUUUUUCUUCUUUUUUUGUCCAGAACUGGACUGAUACCAGGUAUUGGAUCAGUGCAUCUUUAGAUUCAGGUCCAUUGCUGUGCUUGAGAACACCAGGUACAGUCAGUCCUGGGAUCAAUGGUUUAUCAUGGAAAGGAUGUUGCGGCGCACUAAUUGGUAUUCAACUGCGAGCAACAACACCUCCUUCGCCGAGCCGGACUGGUCACCUAUUCUCCCAUGAGGCCAGUGUGCAACGCUCGCUGAAAGCUUAAGUAGCAGGUUGAGGUUGCAAGCUGCUAAUGAGCUGGAAAAUGUGGCAGGCCUGACAUGGUUCUGAUGUCUGAGACUUCAAAUCCAGUGGUAAUGCUGUAACUAACAGGCCCUUGGGAAGACAGGAUGGUGUUGAAGUGGGCUGCAGGGGCUGCAGAGGAUGCUCUCUGUGAUCUGUGGACUGCAGAGACAGAGAGCCAUCAAGAACAUCUUGGAAGCCGCUGAAUAGAGCGAUGAAGAGUGACAGAGAGUCAGCUACCUGGACGCAAGUCGGGACCUGAUCACCCUUGGCUGGGUCGCCCAGAGCAGCAGCGUCCACAUUCAUCACAUUUGAAUGGUUUGAAGCGGCGUAAUGAGACUGUGAGCUACAAUCCCAUUGGCGGAGGGAGAGCAAUAGACACUCCUAUCAUUGCUCUGAUUGACAGAAUAAAUCAGACACUGAGCAUGUGUCUACCUCUCAGACUUUAAUGAAGGUAAUGAAUGGACAUGAGCAAAUUACCCGGGCCCUCCUCACACACUCCACCCAUACAACACCCCCCCCCAUCUUCAUCUCCAUCAAGGGAAAAGUCUCAUCCACGCUGCAUCCAGCUCGGCGAGCAACCUGAUCCAUAAGUAAAGCCAUCGCCAUGGGGCCAACCAUCGACAUCCUGAGCGUGUGAGCAGAUAUGUGGCUCAUAUAAGUGUCAAGGUGUCACGGAGAUAAACAGACACGCGAAGACGGAACGCUCUGCCUUCCCACAUUUGCAUUUUCAACAUGCAACAAACACCACUCCUGCAUUAUUUAUUUCAUCACACACAAGUUUUUUUUUCCCCCACCUCCUUUGCAAUAAAUAACCUCCAAACGUUAUUGCAUUACUCUUAUCUUAUUCAUCUCAAUCCACAGGUGAUAGAUUUUAGAAGUUAUUCCCGGGUUUGAUCUUUGUCCAAUUAGCUGUAAUUGGAGAAUUACAGCAAUCAGUAAAG